CCUACGGGUGGCAGCAGUGAGGAAUAUUGGUCAAUGGCCGGAAGGCUGAACCAGCCAAGCCGCGUGAAGGACGACGGUGCCAAGCAUUGUAAACUUCUUUUGUCAAGGGACAAAAUCAGGCUCGUGAGCCUGAUCGCGGGUACCUGAAGAAAAAGCACCGGCUAAAUCCGUGCCAGCAGCCGCGGUAAUACGGAGGAUGCGGGCGUUAUCCGGAUUUAUUGGGUUUAAAGGGUGCGUAGGCGGGAGCGCAAGUGAGAUGUGAAAACUCAGGGCUCAACCCUGGGCCUGCAUUUGAAACUGUGUGUCUUGAGUGCUGGAGAGGCAAUCGGAAUUCCGUGUGUAGCGGUGAAAUGCGUAGAUAUACGGAGGAACACCAGUGGCGAAGGCGGAUUGCUGGACAGUAACUGACGCUGAGGCGCGAAAGCGUGGGGAGCAAACAGGAUUAGAUACCCGGGUAGUC
rnacentral:rRNA from 1 species